CUAAGCGGCGAGGUCCGCGUGUGCUCCUCAACAGCUCGCUUUGAGGGAAUACAACCCGAGAUGAACGUAGCUUUUCCAAAAAAGGAUGACAGUUGCAAAAGAGCGGCAUCAACACCGACGCGCCGUGCGGGAUUUGUUCCGGCCUCAAACAUCUGUGAGCUUUCAACAAACAGCUCAAGCCUCAGAGGCAUCCAGAUGUGUGUUGCAAUUAAGUCCAUUGGAGUUCUGCUCGUGACCUUGACAAGUGAGGAGGAGCAAACACACCAGACAAAUACUCCCACAGACAUUGAGCUGAUGACAUCUUUCCCCUCUAAAACCGAUCAUGUGUGAAGUUGAAGAAUAGUGGAUUUUGUUCUUAAAGAGCGCAAGUAGCUAACGAGCAGGGAUCGGCUCAAACGGAAAGAGUAUGGUUUGAUUUCAUCUUUCAUCAUGGCCACUCCCCCCCCCCCCCCCCGGGAGCUGACACUGUCUGAACUGUGAGAGUUGUCAUAACAACCGCUGGGAUGGUCAGCCCGGCUAUAUCUUGGAGCAUUCCUUGCUUUUGCAUCAAAGUCUUCUGCUGCCAAAAUCUGUGACCACUUUGGAAACAAAACUUUCACCGGGGAAGCUUCAUCCUCUCACUUUGUGACAUCAGUCUCACCUCCAGUAGACCAUCACGAUGAGCAGCAUGAUGAGGCAGAGGAGGGUCAGAGCAGACACGACUACCAAAGGGACAAUCCACACCAUCCUGCCCAUGCCGGGGUGAGGCGUUCGGGUCACGUUGGACAAGGUGGUCCUCUCUGGGACGAGAGACAAAUGCAAAUUUAAUGUCGGGUAUUUUAAUGCAAAAUUGCAUUACAAUUUGAUGAAUUUUAUUUAUCCGGGUAAACCAAUUGAGAACUGACUCAUUUGCAAAUGCUGACUUCUGCGACAGACAAUGAAUUAAAACGUAUUGGGAUUAA